rnacentral:snRNA from 1 species
AACGAUCGGAAAGAGUUUGGGCUCU